rnacentral:rRNA from 1 species
UACCGUAGGGUGCAAGCCGUUGUCCGGAAUUAUUGGGCGUAAAAGAGCUUGCUAGGCCGGUUUUGUCGCGUCUGCUGUGAAAUUUCGGGGCUCAACCCCGAACUUGCAGUGGGUACGGGCAGACUAGAGUGUGGUAGGGGAGACUGGAAUUCCUGGUGUAGCGGUGAAAUGCGCAGAUAUCAGGAGGAACACCGAUGGCGAAGGCAGGUCUCUGGGCCAUAACUGACGCUGAGAAGCGAAAAGCAUGGGGAGCGAACAGGA